GACGAACGCUGGCGGCGUGCUUAACACAUGCAAGUCGUACGGUAAGGCCCUUUCGGGGGUACACGAGUGGCGAACGGGUGAGUAACACGUGAGUAACCUGCCCACAACUUUGGGAUAACGCUAGGAAACUGGUGCUAAUACUGGAUAUGUGCUCCUGCUGCAUGGUGGGGGUUGGAAAGCUCCGGCGGUUGUGGAUGGACUCGCGGCCUAUCAGCUUGUUGGUGGGGUGUGGCCUACCAAGGCGGCGACGGGUAGCCGGCCUGAGAGGGUGACCGGCCACAUUGGGACUGAGAUACGGCCCAGACUCCUACGGGAGGCAGCAGUGGGGAAUAUUGCACAAUGGGCGCAAGCCUGAUGCAGCAACGCCGCGUGCGGGAUGACGGCCUUCGGGUUGUAAACCGCUUUCAGCAGGGACGAAGCUUUUUGUGACGGUACCUGCAGAAGAAGCACCGGCUAACUACGUG
rnacentral:rRNA from 1 species